UAGCAUUCCUUCAUACUAUCCCCCACCUACAAGCAGCAAGAGGGCAAGCAUUAGCAGCGAACCCAAGGCCAUUGUACAUGAGAGACGGUCAUUCUUAUAUAGGGACAACGAGAUCAUGGAGGCAACUGAAUCCCUCCACUCGCAAAGCGUUCUGCAUCCGAGAGCACGAGCGACUUCCCAUGUGCCAGAGUAGCCAAAAAAGCAUACCAGGUACACGACAGCCACUGUAUGGUUCAUCCAAUUCCGCCUUUUGACGGGGAAAAGAUGAAUAGCAUUAGGCAACAAAUUUGGAUUCCGCUAUGUGGGUAUGCAACACAGAAACCCAUCCUUGCCCGAUAUAGCAACAUGCCUUCGGGACACCACUGAGUGGCCUCAAGGUAGACAGUUCGAUGCGCGAGCAUGGAGCCUGCCAACCCCAACAGCC
rnacentral:misc_RNA from 1 species